GACGAACGCUGGCGGCGUGCUUAACACAUGCAAGUCGAACGGAAAGGCCCUGCUUUUGUGGGGUGCUCGAGUGGCGAACGGGUGAGUAACACGUGAGAACCUGCCCUUGACUUUGGGAUAACUUCAGGAAACUAGGGCUAAUACCGGAUAGGAGCUCCUGCUGCAUGGUUGGGGUUGGAAAGUUUCGGCGGUUGGGGAUGGACUCGCGGCUUAUCAGCUUGGUGGUGGGGGUGUGGCUUACCAAGGCUUUGACGGGUAGCCGGCCUGAGAGGGUGACCGGCCACAUUGGGACUGAGAUACGGCCCAGACUCCUACGGGAGGCAGCAGUGGGGAAUAUUGCACAAUGGGCGGAAGCCUGAUGCAGCAACGCCGCGUGCGGGAUGACGGCCUUCGGGUUGUAAACCGCUUUCGCCUGUGACGAAGCGUGAGUGACGGUAAUGGGUAAAGAAGCACCGGCUAACUACGUG
rnacentral:rRNA from 1 species